UAGGGAAUCUUCCACAAUGGGCGAAAGCCUGAUGGAGCAACGCCGCGUGAGUGAUGAAGGCCUUCGGGUUGUAAAACUCUGUCAUUCGGGACGAACCGGAGUCUGAGGAAAUGCAGACUCUCUGACGGUACCGGAGGAGGAAGCCCCGGCUAACUACGUGCCAGCAGCUGCGGUAAUACGUAGGGGGCAAGCGUUGUCCGGAUUCACUGGGCGUAAAGCGCGCGCAGGCGGUGAUGUAAGUCUGAGGUGAAAACCCGAAGCUCAACUUCGGGACUGCCUUGGAUACUGCGUCACUUGAGGAUAGGAGAGGCAAGGGGAAUUCCACGUGUAGCGGUGAAAUGCGUAGAGAUGUGGAGGAACACCUGUGGCGAAGGCGCCUUGCUGGCCUAUUUCUGACGCUGAGGCGCGAAAGCGUGGGGAGCAAACAGG
rnacentral:rRNA from 1 species